rnacentral:rRNA from 1 species
ACGAACGCUGGCGGCUUGCUUAACACAUGCAAGUCGAACGGAAAGGCCCAGCUUGCUGGGUGCUCGAGUGGCGAACGGGUGAGUAACACGUGGGUGAUCUGCCUCUAACUUCGGGAUAAGCUUGGGAAACUGGGUCUAAUACCGGAUAGGACAAUCGUUUAGUGUCGGUUGUGGAAAGUUUUUUCGGUUAGGGAUGAGCCCGCGGCCUAUCAGCUUGUUGGUGGGGUAAUGGCCUACCAAGGCGUCGACGGGUAGCCGGCCUGAGAGGGUGGACGGCCACAUUGGGACUGAGAUACGGCCCAGACUCCUACGGGAGGCAGCAGUGGGGAAUAUUGCACAAUGGGCGCAAGCCUGAUGCAGCGACGCCGCGUGGGGGAUGACGGCCUUCGGGUUGUAAACCUCUUUCGACAGGGACGAAGCUUUGGUGACGGUACCUGUAUAAGAAGCACCGGCUAACUACGUG